rnacentral:rRNA from 1 species
AAAAUGACUCUCGGCAACGGAUAUCUCGGCUCUCGCAUCGAUGAAGAACGUAGCGAAAUGCGAUACUUGGUGUGAAUUGCAGAAUCCCGUGAACCAUCGAGUUUUUGAACGCAAGUUGCGCCCAAAGCCAUUAGGCUAAGGGCACGUCUGCCUGGGCGUCACGCAUCACGUCACCC